UACGGGGGGGGCAAGCGUUGUUCGGAAUUACUGGGCGUAAAGGGCUCGUAGGCGGCUUUGCAAGUCGGAUGUGAAAUCCCUCGGCUCAACCAAGGAAGUGCAUCCGAAACUGCAGAGCUUGAGUACUUAAGAGGAUCGCGGAAUUCCCGGUGUAGAGGUGAAAUUCGUAGAUAUCGGGAGGAACACCAGUGGCGAAGGCGGCGAUCUGGGAAGAUACUGACGCUGAGGUGCGAAAGCGUGGGGAGCAAACAGG
rnacentral:rRNA from 1 species